GACGCGGGGCUGAGGCUCACAUGCGGGAACUGAAUUAUAGUGGAGUAAAGCAGCCACCCUUUAAACGCACUCUCGGCAAUGGCUCUAGUUGUGAGCCAGUUGCUCCUACUAUAAACAUACAUGAGACCGAUUUCCUGUGUGUGUAGAUGUGUGUGUGUCGAGUGGAGCGGAGGACCACCGCCAGGGCGCGAGAUCUAGGGACACUAGGUGGGGGGAAAUACCGUUUAAUCGGCGGAGGGACAUUAUCAUCUGGACAAUGCACAUUUUGUCACUGGCGAAGAUUUGUAUACAACUGCAAAGCCACAACUCAUGUGAUGACCACUGCACACAACGAGCCAAAUCGAGUUCACUGUGGGCACAAAGGUAGCCCCAUCGACUCCGGGGUAAACGGAUGGGCUGGAAAGCACUUGAACAGGGGGAGGCUGCUCCCGGAAUAGGGGUCGGGGGGUCGGGGAGAAGCGGGCCGGAUUUAGCCCGAUUCUUUCCCCCGUUGAAGUCAAUUGGUGCUUUGCCAUUGUUUUCAUCAGGAGCGAGAUCGCGCCCAGCAGGCUGCAGUGUCCCGAGUGUAACUUGAACUUGAAGAAGGUAUCUGGCAGUGGGUUGUAGCCUGGAGCUCUCUGGAAAGCAGUCACAACUCAUUUGUGUCAGAGCUGUAGCUCGCUGUAACAUAUGCAGUCCCUGCUAGAAAUAAAUACCAUCAAAUCUGCUACCAAAAAAGAAAGGCUUCUAUUGUAAAUAUGCAGAGGAAAGAGAAAGGGAGGCGGAUCCCCUAUCUUGCCAUUUCCAGUGCUUUGAAAUCCCCAGUAUUUGUGAGUGGUUUUCCUCUUCAACCUCGGUAUCAUUUGCUAAGGUCUGAGGAGGAAACCUUUGAAGCGGGGACUAUAUAGGCUCAGAGCACCUCCCUCCAAUCCCACCCCGCACCAGCCUAGUUCUCAGUCUGGAUUCUGGAUGCAUCUGGUAUUGAUGCCUCUGUUUCCUCAGACCUUUCUGUACCUCGGGCUAUGCCGCCAGUGCUCCUUAACCCUGGCCUGGAGAGCCAGGCCAGGGUCGGGGGGACCAGAAAGGCGGGGAUUCUUCUGUCUUGAACUUCAGCAAAGCUGAGAACAAACGUAAACAAAAGCUGGCCCUGGAGUAAGAGCUGUGGGACAGCGGGCUUGGUGUCCAGCCGAGCCAACUGCAGAUGUUGUGCUGUGGUUUUGCUUUGUUUUACAGAGUAACUCUCCCUUUGAGCAGAACGGGUCAAAUGCGCGACUUGAAAACUUGAGCGCUGGCAGCGAGACGCCCUUGCCUACCCAGCUGGAUAAUGGGAGGAAGCAGGGAGAGAGGGAGGCGGUAGGGAACCCUGCGAGGGAGACUUUGGCAGAAACAUGAACUCCACGUAGGAUGCUCUGGCUGGGGGUGGGCGGAUAAUCGCGAGUGACUUAUCUGCGGGUACUAGGUACCGCAUGGUUAACGCUGGUGGCACUGAGGCAAGUUUUAACCUCCCUCCUGCACCCCCACCCCCCGCAACUCCGCAGCAUCCGGGCUGGGGUGGGGGGGGGGAGGAUGUGUGCGCGGCGAUGCGCCCGGCCUGGGGCUUUGGGGAGGGAGUGCUCAGUCGCUGCUAUGCCCCCUGCGCCCCCCUGCCCUCUCUCGCUGUCUUUUUCGGGACCUUGCAGAAAGGAGGGUGGCGGGAAGAGAGGUCCCAAGAAGAGUUGGCUCGUGAGCAAGAGCGAACACCCCAAUCAUCCCGGUUGAAACAGCCACCAGACCCCGUUCCAGGUGCCCUGCCCACCGCUGCGCCCUCCGCCGUGACACCGGCUCUCCCAAGACAGCCCUGCAAGACGAGAGCCUCCUCCCCCCCCCACCGUCUCACUCUGCCCUUUUCAGAGGCCGCGGCCUGUGGCCCAGCCUUCACGUGGCUGCCCGGAAGACAGAGUCGCCAAAUCCUGCUCCUGGGCAAGGUUGACAGAGACUCAGGAAGUGGGGCCCUUGGCUCCCUGCCUGAACAGGGGUGAGCAAGUCCAUGGCUGGGGCAGGUUAGCUGGAAAAGCAGCUGUCAGCAAAGGCGAGCAGGAAGAGACCCCCUCCAGGCACGUGAUUGAAAUCCAGGCUGAUGCCCCAGAUAAGCCAGUCCUUAUCAACACCUCCAGAGAAAGCUUUCUGCUCCCCCUGAUUACGGUCCAGCUGCAAGUGCACAGUGUUUCAUUCGCAGGGUCUUUAAACUCCCGCUGUCCACGGGCAGUCGCUUCUAUUCAAGCCAUAACGCCAUGCCCCCUCCACAAGCCACCGGCGUCGCUGCACGUCAGUGUGGUAGCCGCCGACCCACGAGCCUUCUAGGGACUCAAACGCAUGCCCCGUGCACAAGGUUCCUUUCCUUGGAGCUGUGCAAUAGGAGCCCCAGGAUGGCUCAGGCUGAGGGGAAGAGCUUAGGGGCAGGCUCAGCUAUUGAACGCGAAAGGGGGAAAACUCUCGUCUAAAACGUUCAGUAGUUAUGAGAGAAGGGAUAAAAAUACGCGCGCAAAAAUCUAGUAGAUGUCAAAAUCACUCAGCGCAUAGUUACAGUGCGGUUUUUAGGGGACUUGUGACAACAGUUUGGAGUGGAUUGUUCAUUCCCCUAGGGCAUUCUUUUCCAAUAUGGGCUCCAAGGUGCCGUUCAAGGCUCAGGAACAAAGCGGGCAUCUAAUGGCAAGGUAAUGGUCCCUCUUUUUUGUUUAUUCUUGUGUUAAUAAGGGAAUUCUGCUCUACAGAGGUUGGCAUAUUGAGUUACUUAGAUUUAUUUGGCAAUUAAAAAGAAUAAAGUCAACCAGCUUGUUCUUCAGGUAAAUAUGUGCCCUGUGUUCUACUUAGAAUGGCAUAACUCCUUUCGCCUAACACUCAAAGAAACAUAGGUAUCACUAGCAGUAUUAAAAAGUUCAUUUCAGCUAUUAAUAAUGAUUAGAUACACUCUAAUCCCCUACUUUUAGUUUCAAAUAAAAAAGGAAAAAAGGCACUAUUUUCAAGUACACUCUAUUAUAGCCAAAAGGAGACAGUCCUGGCUAAAAAAAAAUCUAUGUUUUGGUUUUUAAACUAACUAACUAACCUGUUUUAAUCACUAUGAUGUAAAUUGGUGAGCACAUCAGGAAACUGAAUGUUUAUUUUCUUCUUUAGAGGUAUCGAUAGUAUUUAAUCUUCAACAUUUCAUAAAGCUACAUGCUUAAUUUAAUGUCACUGAUAGGAGCUUUUAGCAUAUGGAGUUAAGACAUUUUUUUUACACAUAUGUGAUUGAUAUAUAUCAUAGGCCGGCAGGAUUUCUGUGUGCAUAUUUUAAUCUUUUGUAAAUAAACUGCGGUGAACGUGUGCAUGUUUGUGUGGGUGCGUGUGUGUGUGUGCAAGACAGAGAGAAGCAAAUGAAGAGUCUGACACCUUACAAUUCAUCUAUGGCUUUUAGUGUGGACUCUGAAACGAAUAUCUAUUAGAUUUCUUUGAGCAAUAUCCCAAUCGGUUAGAUGGGCCUCUCUUUUGAAUGAGAGUUCUAGAGGACGAAACAAAUGUAUGUUAUUCCAGCACAAUUCUUUACCAAACCCUUUUUUCCCCUUCCCCACCCUCCCCCUUUUUAGAAAGAGUAGUUUCAGCUCUGCUUUUCUGGAACCAUUCUCUGACGGUUUAGGGAUGUAGUAAUGAUAAAUGCUCAGCAGUUCUCAUUUCUUUUGUACUUUAUAAACAUUCUUCUUGUCUGGAACUUGAAAAAAGCCCCACAAAAUAGAAUUUAAUAUGUCUCCUGUCCCCUUGCUCUUGGCUUUUAUCUAUAUAAUUCACACACAAAAAACACGCACUUCAGGUUUGUACCUCAGCUCUCUAAAUAAGUGGUCUACAGAAAGCUACCCGGAUUGAUGCGACUAAGUUAAAGUAUACAUUAGUACUCUAGUUGGAAAUGAAGCUUGGAAUUGUUGAGCAAACAGUUUACUCUCUACUGUGGUGCUGCACACUGAAUGCUGUAUAGUGAGUUCUAUGGAGCGCUGGCAGGAAAGCACCACCAAGCAUGUCCAAAACUAAUAACAAAAAGGUUACUAUAUAUAAAACGUUUAUACAUCCAAAACUGCCUCAAGUUGUUUAAAUUUCGGUUUCGUGCACAUAAAUAUAGCAGCCAUGCGGUUCCCCAUAUCCCAGUUCCCGCUUUUUUAAAUCAAUUCAUUUCAAUUUGAAAGGAAGGCCCCAGACACAAGUCACAAUCAACAAUCGUUUAGCUUUCUAACACUAAACAUGCACCUUAUAAAGAAACAGUAUUGGUCUAUGUCGUCUCAAACACAUAUCUUGAUAGCCUGACGUUGUUCUUAAGAAAUGGUCAAAUCAGAGUAACAAUCUCCAUUUGUUUUCCUUUAUAAUCCAGCUAUUUUUAAAGUAUUCUUUUAAAAGAGAAGGGAGAAUUAAUUCUGCACAUGAACGAUGACUGGACUUUUGCAAACAUGGUGUGGUAGUGUGAUCCCAAACCAUGAUAUCUGUAAAUAAAACUCUUUCUAUAUAGUUUGUGCAUUUCAAUAAACCUCAGAAUACUGUAUGUGGACACCUGAAAUGGACAGAAUAUGCUACUAAAGAAUUUGAAUGCAUUUAACAAUACUGUUAUGAAAAUUAUUUCCAUGCCUAAUAUUUUAUGUUGCUAUUCAAUACUAGAAUGAAAUGGAUUUAAACCACCUACCUAUAAAAUAAACAUGUCUACUCUGGUCUAUUGUCUUGUCAGUGAGAUUGUCUUGUAAAAGCUAUUGAUUUUGUAUUUAAAUAUAAGAAUUGAUGUGGUGUUAUAUUUUCCUCUCAUUGAAACAUAUUAUAGACCUAUUCGGAAAAGUCGCUAAACUUUUCCUUUUGGUAAAAACAAAAAACAAAACACUCCCACACCCCCCUAUCCAAUAAACCUGUUUUGGAAUUACAGUUUUCAAUACACUGUUAGAAAAUAUAUUCUGGCACAAAUUUCAAUUGCUGUGCAAGGACUGCUUUUAAAUGCUGGCUUUUCAUCACAAUUAUUUUUUUAUUAGCAGUAGGUGUAAACUGGAAGAAAAUUUGAUUAUUUAAACGGAUGUUCAUCCUAUUAUGGCUGAAGAAAGAAGCAAAGCAGUGGACAAAGAUCUUGGGUGGUUGUGGGUUUCAUUAGGACUACAGUCUUCACAUAUAAAUCAGAUUCUCAUCUCACUGCUUUUCCUACCUAGAAAUUUGUUGUAUGUUUUUUUGUUUGCUUGCUUGUUUGUUUUAAGGUGAGUGGAAACUAAACCUUAGUGAAGGACAGAGAUCUCUUCACUCAAAUACAUAGUGAAAGUG